CGGCUAACUACGUGCCAGCAGCCGCGGUAAUACGGAGGAUGCAAGCGUUAUCCGGAUUCAUUGGGUUUAAAGGGUGCGCAGGUUGGAAUGUAAGUCAGUGGUGAAAUACUGCCGCUUAACGGUAGAGCUGCCAUUGAUACUGCGUUUCUUGAGUAUGGUUGAGGUAGGUGGAAUGUGUUGUGUAGCGGUGAAAUGCAUAGAUAUGACACAGAACGCCGAUUGCGAAGGCAACUUACUAAGCCAUUACUGACGCUGAGGCACGAAAGCGUGGGUAGCGAACAGGAUUAGAUACCCUGGUAGUCCACGCUGUAAACGAUGUUCACUCGCUGUUUGCGAUACACAGUAAGCGGCUGAGCGAAAGCAUUAAGUGAACCACCUGGGGAGUACGAUCGCAAGGUUG
rnacentral:rRNA from 1 species